rnacentral:lncRNA from 1 species
AGCAAUCUGCAAUUAGCAAACAAUGAAGCUGAGCAUGUGAUGGCUGCAGAGAAAGGAGCUGUGCUAGACAGCCUUUCUUCUUGCAGAAGAGCGUGGAUUUUGUACGGAGGAUGGUUCUGAAUGUCAAGACUGACGUUUUCUCAACCUGAACACAGCACCGCACACCGGCCUUGCUCUGGUUCCCACCGGCCCCAGCUACUCCACAUCCCAGGUGCCACGCACGAGCCAAAGACACAGCCCAAGGAUGAAGUAAUGGGAGCUGACCUGCAGCCUGCAACGUGAUCGGGGCAGUACAGAGCAGCAUCGGGUGAAUUGAACACAGAGAGGUGCGAGCAGAGCUGACCGUGCACCGGGCUGCACCAGCCUUCCUGCUGUUCCUCGAAAAACUCCCAGCCACAUACUGGCAUGAACAGAUCCCACUCAGUUCUUGGCAUUUAGCACGCUCACAGGCUGCAGUGAUUCAUAGAAAGCUCCUUGUUCUGGCCCUGGAAUGAGCGUACAUGUUUCAGAGCCUUUUUUUCAUGCAGCUAUGCUGCAGUCUCCUAAAAAUGCAUGUGCAGGCAGAUCGUUCUGCAGAUCCUAUGGCAACGGGCUGCACGGCGGCUGGCUGGCUGCAUGACAAUGUGCAAGGCUUGUGCAUGGAGAAACACCACGCUCACAGGGAGAAAACUUCCUAGGAAUAUUAGUAUGCAGCACCCACUGCCAAGAUAUCAUAGCAAUCCAGCAAGAUCUGACUGCUCAGAAUUAUUAUUCAUGUACAGUGGAAUAUGUAUUUUUUUUUUAAGCAGCAUUGUAAAUUAAUGCCAGCAAAACGUAAUUUGUAAUUUAAAUGUAAAUCAGAAUUGAGUAAGGAUAUAAUGAAGCUCCGAAUGCCUCGGUGGUAUUUGCUAACCCGUCUGUUUUGUGGUGCUUUUUUCACCAAGAUGUUAAAGUUCAUUGUUCAUGCUGAAUACCUCCAAGUGUGUUAUCUGUAUACGUGUGCAGUAAAUACAUACAUAAUAACGAAAGCUCAGGCUACGUGCUGUUGAACUCUGGAUUGACACAUCUGAC